rnacentral:rRNA from 1 species
UGGGGAAUCUUCCGCAAUGGACGAAAGUCUGACGGAGCAACGCCGCGUGAGUGAAGAAGGUUUUCGGAUCGUAAAACUCUGUCUUUUGGGGCGAACGUGAGUAUGGUGAACAAUCAUAGUCAGUGACGGUACCAAAGGAGGAAGCCACGGCUAACUACGUGCCAGCAGCCGCGGUAAUACGUAGGUGGCAAGCGUUGUCCGGAAUUAUUGGGCGUAAAGAGCGCGUAGGCGGGAUAGUCAGUCUGUUGUAAAAGUGCGGGGCUCAACCCCGUGAUGGCAAUGGAAACAGCUAUUCUUGAGUGCAGGAGAGGAAAGUGGAAUUCCCAGUGUAGCGGUGAAAUGCGUAGAUAUUGGGAGGAACACCAGUGGCGAAGGCGACUUUCUGGACUGUGUCUGACGCUGAGGCGCGAAAGCCAGGGGAGCGAACGGGAUUAGAUACCCCGGUAGUCCUGGCCGUAAACGAUGGGUACUAGGUGUGGGAGGUAUCGACCCCUUCCGUGCCGGAGUUAACGCAAUAAGUACCCCGCCUGGGGAGUACGGUCGCAAGACUGAAACUUAAAUGAAUUGACGGGGUCAUAGCUGUUUCCUG